UACGGAGGGUGCAAGCGUUAUCCGGAUUCACUGGGUUUAAAGGGUGCGUAGGUGGUUGGUAAGUCAGUGGUGAAAUCUCCGAGCUUAACUUGGAAACUGCCAUUGAUACUAUCAGUCUUGAAUACCGUGGAGGUCAGCGGAAUAUGUCAUGUAGCGGUGAAAUGCUUAGAUAUGACAUAGAACACCAAUUGCGAAGGCAGCUGGCUACACAAAUAUUGACACUGAGGCACGAAAGCGUGGGGAUCAAACAGG
rnacentral:rRNA from 1 species